CCCGCAACGACCGCCACCCUAGCCAUUAGUUGCCAUCAUUAAGUUGGGCACUUUAAUGGGACUGCCGGUGACAAACCGGAGGAAGGUGGGGAUGACAUCUAUUCCUCAUGGCCUUUAUGGGUAGGGCUUCACACGUCAUACAAUGGUCGGUACACAGGUUUGCGAAGCCUCGAGGUGAAGCUAAUCCCACAAAACCGAUCGUAGUCCGGAUCGCACUCUGCAACUCGACUGCGUGAAGUCGGAAUCGCUAGUAAUCGCGGAUCAUCAUGCCGCGCUGAACACCUU
rnacentral:rRNA from 1 species